AGAAAAAACCUGAAAAUUAAACAUUUAAUUUUAUUCGUUUAGAUUAGUUAAAUUCUGGUUUGAAGUUUUUAAGUUGAACAUUUUUGAAAGCUGAAACUGAAAAGCCUUGGAGUUAUUAGAAAAUUAAAUCAAGUGUUUUACAUAUAUCAUAUCAUUUAGUUUCCAUGACGACUUCAACUACUACUUCUCCAGGAACUCCUGCAAGUCAAUCAAGUCUAAGAAGCAGAAGACAUCCCAGUGGGCAUUUCAACGUCGAACAAACGUCGAGCGACGUCGGAUAUCGACGUCGAAUCGACGUUGGGUUUACGUUGGAAAUGGAAAUGUUUUUUUAACGUCGUAUAAACUGACAUCGUGCGACGUGCAUUCCGAUGUUGAUUCAACGUGUUUUUUGUAAACUAAAAACUAUUACCAAAGGCAGGAAUCGAA